UGUGUGUAUAAACUGCGAUUCAUUCAAGCUAGUUCUAUUUCACCCUUCACCAAGUCUCCGCUAGUGUUGGGGGGAGACUGCUAUACAGUUACACAAACCAGAUUGUUCCAGGGUAGUAAAGCUCCAGAUAGAGCCCAUUCAAUGGUUUCCCAGUUGCAAACUUGGCGGAUGUAAUCAGCCACAAAAGGCUAUAACCACGUUUCUACUUACUCUCCCAUGCAGCCUGCUUGAGACUGUGUAUACCAUUGAUAAGGAAGUAUUUAUUGCAUGAAGGGAUGUGGGUAAGGAGACAGACUGAUGGUGCAGAAUUCUAAAAAACAAAAAACAAACACUUAAU